rnacentral:rRNA from 1 species
ACGGGAGGCAGCAGUGAGGAAUAUUGGUCAAUGGGCGGGAGCCUGAACCAGCCAAGUAGCGUGCAGGAUGACGGCCCUACGGGUUGUAAACUGCUUUUGCGCAGGGAUAAAAAAGCCCACGUGUGGGCUCUUGCAGGUACUGCGUGAAUAAGGACCGGCUAAUUCCGUGCCAGCAGCCGCGGUAAUACGGAAGGUCCGAGCGUUAUCCGGAUUUAUUGGGUUUAAAGGGUGCGCAGGCGGAGAUGCAAGCCAGCCGUAAAAUCGUGGGGCUCAACCCCAUUUAGCGGUUGGAACUUCAUCCCUUGAGUGCGGCAGAGGGAGGUGGAACUCGUGGUGUAGCGGUGAAAUGCAUAGAUAUCACGAAGAACUCCGAUUGCGAAGGCAGCCUCCUGGACCGUAAAUGACGCUCAUGCACGAAGGCGCGGGUAUCAAACAGGAUUAGAUACCCUGGUA